CUCCUCCUUUCAGAGGAGGGCCACAGAUAAAUGAUCUGAGAUGGAAUAUCCCUAGGAAGACAGGCUGAGAGAGCUCGAUUUGUUCAACCUGGAGGAGAGAAGGCUCCAGGGAGACCUUUCAGUGGCCUUUCAGUAUCUAAAGCAGCAGAGGGGCAGUCUGACAGAAUGACCUCUGAUACAGAAGCACGGAUGAAGCAAAGGAGUGUCACUGAAUUCCUCCAUGAGGAAGAAAAGGCACCCGUUGAUGUUCAUCGAUGCUUGCUGAAUGUUUAUGGAGACCAAACAAUGGAUGUGAGCACAGUGAGGUGGUGGCUGAUGAUUCAACAGUGGCAAUAGUGACAAUUUGACUCUACCAAACAUUACUGAAUAAUCUUAAGAGAAAGUCCAAACAUAUCCAGAAAUCUGAAAAUAAGAUAGAGACACCAAGUAUGACCUGGGAAAAGAGAUCAGUAUUAGAGAGCAUCCAAGAUGGAAUUUGUUAAUUUUCAUGGCAUAAUUGAAC
ensembl:lncRNA